rnacentral:lncRNA from 1 species
AUAUGGCCAAAUAGAAGCCUCCACCAAUUGUUCUCCCCACAGGGACACCAAAUUGAAUGACUAUCCACACAGAAAAGUGUCUUCAUAAGAACCAAAAUCAACAACAACAACAACAACAACAACAACAAGAACCAAAACCCAGGCUAAAAGUUUCUUGUCAGUAGAUGCUUCUGAGUCUGUCUAUAAACCUGCUCACCAGGAUGCAGUUUCAUUUGUCAGCGCUGCUCUUAGAACACGGUAUCCAUGAGAACACAACACUCCAGCUGUGCUCACGCCAGUGAGGACAGCAGUGGGCCCAUCCAUUUAGUUUGAUUUGUUCCUUCCUCCUCUUCCAACCACACUCUUCCUAGGUCACCACAACGGCCUCUACAGGGUAAAGCCAUGUUAAUGUUAUACAUUGAUUUUAUGACAAAAUCAAGGCAUUGUGGUUUUAGUGCAGCCCAGAUGAGUCCCCGAGGAUCAGCGUUACCACAGCUACCUGGUAAAAGGAAACCCUGGAAUGAGCCUCAUUACUGCUGUAAUAUAAUGUGCUCUAAGCAAUUGCCCUUCCACCUUUCCCCUUCCCAAACAGCCAGGGCAAGAAGCCCGAGUUCUUGGCUGUAACUGAUAAACAGUGUGAUGAGAACAGUUUGUUUAAUUCUCGUUAAUGAGUUGGCUGCAGUAAAUUCCCAGCAACUAAGGACUGAGAACCUCAGAGGCAGGGCUACAGCAUCCUUCAAUGGGAAGUUUUAGGGCUGCUCUGUCCAGCUUCUAAAGUGUGAAGCCAAGAUGUGUGGGAGACUGACCGAGGGUCACAGCUCAUGUCUGAUAGCAAUACAGACAACUCUGGAACUUGGGUCCUAGUGUGUUGCUUAGCUGUUGGUGCAAGACAACAGAAUAGGCAGAUGGGAAUUUGGGAGCCACCUUUUGUGGUGUGUACUUUAAUGGCUGUAGAUAGUUUCUGGAUUGGUCAAGGUCUCCUUUACACAGUCCAGUGGGGGAGAAGUCAAUGCCAAUUGUCCUACAAGCAUUACAUGACAGAGGAUUCUCUCCCUAUUGCAUUAAUUCUUUAGCAGUGAGCCCGGAAAGAUAGUAGGGCCCGCAAGACCCCCUCCUAGCAGUGCCUCUAGCAGACAUUGGAAGCCAGCUUUUAGUGUGAACUCACCAGCCAUAAAAAUGUCAGGCCACUGAACAGCUGCGGCUCUUCAGGGUCAAAUAGCUCACAUUCAAGGCAGAAAGAGAGGACUGUUUUCUGUAAAAGGCAUUUUAAGAGAAUUCCUAAUAAUGAGGUCUUCUGAUGGGAGAGUAACUAAUGAAGGUGGUUUGAGGGAAGGAAGAAAGGGAGGUUGGGAAGGAAGGAAGUUGAGAAGGAGGGAGCAAAGUCUUUUCCUGUGAGCCUUGUAAUGACAGUCAGCUUGCAAAAAUUAUCUUAAACUUGAAAUCCAAAAGGCUUAUAAUCUGAACUGCUUGAGAGUGACUAGCUCACUAGUGACAAGCCCUCCUUAUUAUUUCUUCCCU